CCUACGGGAGGCAGCAGUGGGGAAUAUUGCACAAUGGGGGAAACCCUGAUGCAGCGACGCCGCGUGAGUGAAGAAGUAAUUCGUUAUGUAAAGCUCUAUCAGCAGGGACGAAAAUGACGGUACCUGCGUAAGAAGCACCGGCUAACUACGUGCCAGCAGCCGCGGUAAUACGUAGGGGGCAAGCGUUAUCCGGAUUUACUGGGGGUAAAGGGAGCGUAGACGGAAGUGGAAGUCUGCGGUGAAAUGCCGGGGCUCAACCCCCGGACUGCUCUGGAGACUGUACGGCUGGAGUGCAGGAGAGGUAAGUGGAAUUCCUAGUGUAGCGGUGAAAUGCGUAGAUAUUAGGAGGAACACCAGUGGCGAAGGCGGCUUACUGGACUGUAACUGACGUUGAGGCUCGAAAGCGUGGGGAGCAAACAGGAUUAGAUACCCUUGUAGUC
rnacentral:rRNA from 1 species